rfam:Orchesella cincta Ocin01_Sc0910, whole genome shotgun sequence.
GUCGAUUGGUCUAGUGGCCAGGGCGCAGCUCUAGUUAAGCUGAGGGUUGGGUUCGAUUCCCAACAUCGACA